GACGAACGCUGGCGGCGUGCUUAACACAUGCAAGUCGAACGAGGUAGCAAUACCUAGUGGCGGACGGGUGAGUAACACGUAGGUAACCUGCCUCGUAGUGGGGGAUACCCAGUCGAAAGAUUGGCUAAUACCGCAUACCUUGGGGAGUUGUGAUACUUUUCAAGAAAGAUUUAUCGCUAUGAGAGGGGCCUGCGCACGAUUAGCUAGUUGGUGAGGUAACGGCUCACCAAGGCGACGAUCGUUAGCUGGUCUGAGAGGACGAUCAGCCACACUGGAACUGAGACACGGUCCAGACUCCUACGGGAGGCAGCAGUGGGGAAUUUUCCGCAAUGGGCGAAAGCCUGACGGAGCAACGCCGCGUGGGUGAUGAAGAUUUUCGGAUCGUAAAGCCCUUUCAGCAGGGACGAACACAAUGACGGUACCUGCAGAAGAAGCAUCGGCUAACUACGUGCCAGCCGCCGCAGUAAGAC
rnacentral:rRNA from 1 species